UACGUAGGGACCUAGCGUUGUCCGGAAUCAUUGGGCGUAAAGCGCGCGUAGGCGGCCCGGUAAGUCCGUUGUAAAAGUCGAAGGCUCAACCUUCGAAAGCCGAUGGAUACUGCCGGGCUAGAGUACGGAAGAGGCGAGUAGAAUUCCUGGUGUAGCGGUGGAAUGCGCAGAUAUCAGGAGGAAUACCCAUAGCGAAGGCAGCCCGCUGGGACGUUACUGACGCUGAGGCGCGAAAGCGUGGGGAGCGAACAGG
rnacentral:rRNA from 1 species